rnacentral:rRNA from 1 species
GGUCAAGUGACUAAGUGCAUGUGGUGGAUGCCUUGGCGAUUACAGGCGAUGAAGGACGUUGUAGCCUGCGAAAAGCUGCGGGGAGCUGGCAAACAAGCUUUGAUCCGCAGAUGUCCGAAUGGGGAAACCCACUCCGCAAGGAGUAUCCCUGACUGAAUACAUAGGUCAGUGGAAGCGAACCCGGCGAACUGAAACAUCUAAGUAGCCGGAGGAACAGAAAUCAACCGAGAUUCCCUAAGUAGUGGCGAGCGAAC